rnacentral:rRNA from 1 species
CCGGAUUUAUUGGGCGUAAAGAGCGUGUAGGCGGCCAGGUAGGUCUGCUGUGAAAACUCGAGGCUCAACCUCGAGACGUCGGCGGAAACCAUCUGGCUAGAGUCCGGAAGGGGAGAGUGGAAUUCCUGGUGUAGCGGUGAAAUGCGCAGAUAUCAGGAAGAACACCCGUGGCUAAGGCGGCUCUCUAGUACGGUACUGACGCUGAGACGCGAAAGCGUGGGGAGCGAACAGG